CGAGUGCUUUGAAGUGGGCUUGAUGCUGGUGCUUUUUAAGUGCAUGUGCUCAGCUCGCGCUCAAUUCCACUUAACCCCUGUGCACUAUUCGGAGUGUGUUGUCUGUAUACCUUUUUCUUUACUUCUCUUCUAUUGAAGGGAGGGUCAUGCGAAGGGGGGGAAAGGAUGGCAUCUCCGGUUAUCAUUACAAACUCUUCAUUGUGUAUUGUAGAAUGUAUUACCUUUUUAAAAGGUGAAAUUGAAAUACAACUUUCAACAACGGAUCUCUUGGCUCUCGCAUCGAUGAAGAACGCAGCGAAAUGCGAUAAGUAAUGUGAAUUGCAGAAUUCAGUGAAUCAUCGAAUCUUUGAACGCACCUUGCGCUCCUUGGUAUUCCGAGGAGCAUGCCUGUUUGAGUGUCAUGUUAAUCUCAACUUCAUUGGCUUUUUUUGUCAGUGAAAUUGGAAUUGGAGGUUUGCUGCUGGCUUUGCUAUAAAGAACCGGCUCCUCUCAAAUGUAUUAGCUUGGAAUCUUUCUACGCAAUCUUGCGGUGUGAUAGUUCUAUUCACUGCAGAUGUAUAAUGGGUUCCGCUUCGAAUAGUCUUGUUUAAGACAAUUUCAAUCUUGACUCUGACCUCA
rnacentral:rRNA from 1 species